CAGUCGUGCAGUCAUCAACUCAGCGGGUAGCGUUAGUAAUUUAUUGCUUUCGUUUUCCGUGUACUUUGUUGUCUGCUGGUUAGCAUCAAUUUUGAUUGUCAUAAAAAGGUUAAGGGGAUGUGGCUCCUUCGGGAGUGUUAUAACCCUUAGCGGAAUGUGGCGAUUGGGAUUGAGGUUUGCAACGAAUACCUUUAGGGCAGUUCCGUCUGGUCUCUUGUGACGUUCAGAUAGCAACAGC
rnacentral:rRNA from 1 species